UGUAGCAUUUCCUCAGUGACUUCUUCAGGUUCCUCCACCACUUCCUCAGUCUCCACUGGUUUACCAUCUACCAUAAUAAUCUUCUUAAUUAUUCUCCUUCUGAUGAUUCUGUGAGUAGUGGUCACCUCAGGUUCUGUGAUGGUCUCAGUAAUCACUGAGUCAGCUGGCAGUUUUUCAAACAUUUCC